UUUACAGGAUGGGAGGGGUGAGGAGGGGGGAGUGAGUACAAGGGGGAGGAGGGAGGGGGAUCAGGGAAGGGGAGUUAGGAGUGUCCAAUCCUACUGCUGCAUCCUCCUUCCAUCCAAUGGAUGCUCUGGAAGGAGAUGCAAUGGAAUUUAAAUUAGAGGCUUGCCUGUUGGCCAGCCCACAAUUUUCCUUGGCUUACAUAGAGACUUGAGAGUACUUCCACUGGGACUCUCUGUUUCCAUUGUUGGCUGGCCUGCUGGUGCUGGAGGACUUCACUGAGGAAAAGAGGACUUCACCUGGAGGAUUCCUGCCUGCCUGCCUGCCUGCCUGACCUUUGCUGGACUGCAGGACUGACUUGAUGGAAAGGACAACGAAAGAACAUAUGAAUGAUUCCACUUCACCAAUGGAGCAACGGCAGCGUCUAUCCUCAUAUGGGAUCUUUCUAUAACUUCACAACGGACCAAGAUGGGACAUCCAAAUGUGAUCGCUUCUUGGGGCGUCUGCCAAAUGCCAUCACCUUUGUUUUAUCAAAGUUGAUUGUUAGGUGUUCUUUGUCGCAGUAUGUUGUGAAUCUAUCUAGCACCCUUCGGAGUCCUAAUGGGGUCCUGGCUAAUAGGACUGCAUCAUCUGCAUAGAGCAGAACUGGUAAAUGGCGUGAAGCAAGCUUCGGCGGAUGGAAAUUGAGGUCAAUCAUAUAUUUCACCAUGUCACUGAUGUAAUAAUUAAAUAACACGGGGGCCAAUAGGCAGCCCUGCCUAAUGCCUUUAAAUGUUUUUAUUGCUCCAGUGAGUAGUCCCUGCCGGUUACAUCUCACUCUCAGAUAUGAUUCCUCAUGCAGGGAGUGGAUGAGAAAUAAUAAUCUUUUAUCUAUGCUAGAGCCCUCUAGUUUUUGCCACAAUCUCUGUCUAGAGAUAGACUCAAAAGCUGCCUUCAAAUCAAUGAAGGCAGCAUAUAGAGAAGUUGGACCUUUGGCAGAGUAUUUUUCUAUCAACUGUUGAAGCACCAGGCAAUGCUCAACCGUCGACCUCCCUACCCUAAAACCUGCCUGUCCCAGUGGAAUAAUUUCUUCCUGUUCUAACCAUAUUUCAAGUUUAUCUAAAAGGUGUCUUGUGUAUAUUUUACUGAUGAUGCUUAAGAGACUUAUGGGCCUAUAGUUUGCUGGCUCAUUUUUGUAGCCCUUCUUAAAUAUAGGGACCACAAUAGCAGUCCCCCACUGCUUUGGAAUUCAGCCAGUUUGGUCUAUGUACAUAAACAGGGUUGCAAGAAACUGCGCCCACCAAUCUACAUUCUCUUUUAAUGCUUCAGGAGGUAUUCCAUCCAUACCUGGGGCCUUCCCAUUUUUUAAACGGGCUAUGUGGGCUCUUACUUCUAGGGGGCUGACCGGAGGCCAUGCCGGAAAGUUCUCUAUGCUUCCAGAGAAGGCAAGCUGACUAUGGUCUUCAUAAAGAUUCUGGAAAAAUAUGGUCCAGUGCAUACAAACAAUGCAAAACUGAAUUAUUCAAAAAGGCUUUUUACUCAAAUGAGAGAGCUGUAUUGUAGGGAGGGGGUCUCAGAUGUUUCACCAAUGAGACAGGGACCACAGACUUCACUGCUAUGUUGCCUUACAUAUUACCUGUUGCUUUAAAUAUGUACUCUUAUGUACCACCAGUGCUCCGUGUUGUCUAAUGUUAGUCCUAGAAUUGAUUAUGUUCUGCUUCAGUAUUUUUCCUACUCUGUAUUGGAUUCCUGCUAAUACUAUGUCUUUAAACUUGUAUCUAUUUACCCUAUGGCAUUUUUAUGGACAUGUCCUUGAUACUGUAUUGAAAUGUACUUGAUACUGAUUGCACUAAUCUCAUACUGUGUAAUCUGCCUUGAGUCGCAGCGAGAAAGGCAGACUAUAAAUAAAUAAAUAAAGGAAGGAAGGAAGGAUGCAGAUGCAUACAAAUAGCAGCCUUUUCCUUCCAGAUGCACAUAUGCCAUGAUCUGGAAAUAAGGCUCCUUUUUAUGGUUAAAACGUCUCAGAGUAUUUUCAUGGGUGGAGGAAUAUGUGCUCAUGGAAUGCAGCUUUAGAACCUCCAUCUUCCCAUGACUACCUGAUAUGCUCCCCCAAAUCCUGUUCCUGGGGUUCCCUGCCCUACACAUAAAAGAUUUUAGGUGACAUUUCAGGCAGCAGAGUGAGAGGGGAGACCAGAAAGCGGCAAACUGACAGCGCAUAUCCUUCCACCUGUGGAUAUAUUCUGAGAUCCAAGCUGUUGCUGUGUUCAUACCAUGGUAUAAGUUAAGAAAUUCAUCCAUUGAAUCUGCAAACUGCAUAGAUUUUUUAACAGCCUCCUACCAUGGGAGUAUGCAUGUGUGUCUGCCCCACAACUCUGUAUCCAUCUGUAACUGGCCACCCUGUCCCACAGGUUUGUUUGGUUUGAACGGAUGAAGCAAUAUAUGUAUGGCUGUUUUUAGUAUUGUAUUGUUAUUUGCUGAUUUUAUAUUUUAUGCUGCCAAUUUUAUUGUAUAUCUUAUAUGUUGUG